GACAGAGGUGCCGAGCGUUAGGCGGAAUCACUGGGCUUAAAGCGUGUGUAGGCGGUGCUCUAAGUUCGGGUGUGAAAUCUCCUGGCUCAACUGGGAGGGUGCGCCGGAAACUGGAGUGCUUGAGCGUGGGAGAGGAAAGCGGAAUUCCUGGUGUAGCGGUGAAAUGCGUAGAUAUCAGGAGGAACACCUGUGGUGUAGACGGCUUUCUGGACCAUAGCUGACGCUGAGACACGAAAGCGUGGGUAGCAAACAGG
rnacentral:rRNA from 1 species